UGUAAGUUAUUUGAAAAUCGCCAGUGUAGUUUUCGAGAAACUGAAUUUCAGCCUUUGGAAAGGCUGGAAUUCAGUUUCUCGAAAACUACACUGGCGAUUUUCAAAGGCUGA
rnacentral:miRNA from 1 species